ACUACAGUGCCCAGAAUCCUCAGCGCCUGAGCCCCCCGCCCCUUUUGUCUGCGUUAGUGAAGGAAUUGGCUCUUCGAGGGUGCGACUAAAGAAAGCCGUCGAGAGAACAGAUAGAUGUGAUCCAGACAAAUAUGUGAACAAGUGCUUGGAAACACAUAUUUCUGAACAAUUCCCUUUAUGACAAUUCCCUCAGAGUUGGAAGAGACAACAAUUGAUGACUAUAAUGCCAAUUAAGUAGAAUGGAUAUGAAUGUCUGAAAAUAAGCUGGAAAUUUUAAGGCCAAAAUUCUUCGAAAUACAAAGAAAAAACCUUUCUGAAGACAAAUAGCUGUAGAAGUUCUCCUCAAUGCAUACAAAUGAUAAUUCUUAAAACACAAUGACUGAAAGUAUUUAUUUGCAACAAAUUUAUUUGACCACUUAUUCAAGGGCUGCUCGUCCAAGAGCUAUAUUAAGGUCUAUUUACUUUAUCCCUACCAAAGGCGGUAUUUUUUGAGGAUAGAAACUACAUCUCAUGGAGUUUAUCACUCAGAGUGCCUACUUAGGAGACUGCUUGCAUACUGAAUGAAACGAAGGAAGAAUGAAUGAAUAAUUUGGGACCCCACCUCCCAACACACUUCCACAUAUCGAAAUGCACACGGAAUGAGGUACAUCUUCUAAGGAGAGUGGCAUUGAAGAGUAAUCAAAACAACAGGAUAUUCACAGGAGGACUGGAAUAAAACGAAAUUUCCAGUGAAAAAGAUUACUCAAAAUAUUUAUUCAAUACACUCUGAAAUUAGAAACUAAGCAAAUGUCUUUUGGAGAUCCCAGUUCCCUCACAUUCCCCACAGAUGAAGAUGAGCCAAACAGAAGUCCAAAACUUAAACAUUACAAAACAAAUAAUAAAAUAAGACACUGUGACUGAAAAUCAGCACAAACAAUAAACGGCAGAAAUAUAUCCCCCAAAACUUCAGAGGCAGAGCUCAUUUGAUUAAAAAUUUAAAAUUAUUACAUUUAAAAUGUUUAAGGACAUGAUAGAUGGAAUUAAAAACAUUAUCAACAAACAACAGAAUGUAAAAUAAGCCACCAGGAAAGUUUAGAGAAACAUACACAUUUCGUUAAACUAUUAAAAAAAAAUGUUUAACACAAUAUUUAGGGUAGAUUAUUACUUCUACAGGGAUAAAGUCCAGGAAAGACAGACACACAGGUGACUUCAAAGGUAAUGAAUAGAUUUGUAUCAUCAUAAUGUGUUAUGGAAUACUUAGGAAUCAGUGACAUUAAGGGAUGACUUCGUCUGGGAAGAGUGGAACUUAAUGGAUUCCUCAAAAGGACUCUGCACAAGGGUGUGAUAUUGGGAAACUACAGGAACCUGGUCUCUCUGGGUAAGAAGAGUUUUGUUGUGACUCGCUAUUUUUCUGUUGGACCAAAUGGACCUUAGGAUUCAGGGAUUUAUGAUAUCUUAUGAACCCUUAUGGAGUAGUUCUAUCUCCAUUUCCAAGUAAAAACUCUACUCUUUGUAAAGGGAAAAAUUUAUAUUUUCAUCAGCAUAUCUUGAAAACUCUACCUGAGGACAAUCCCCCAGACCUAGGACUGUCUCUUUUAAAGUCUCUUUUCAGGUACUUCAAUUCUGCCUUUUUAAAAAAAUUAGAAAAAUAUAUAUUUUUGGCUAACUUAUAUUGGUUCUGUGAUGCAGCAUAUUUUACCAUUCUUGGGAGCACAUAUUUGACCCCUCCCAACUACCUUUGUAAUCAUAUGGAACUCCCUAUAUUGAUCAUGCCUUCCAAAAGAUUAUGUCCACAUAGAACUCCGGAAUGGCUUUUUGUCACCAACAUAGUGAAGUUCUAUUUCCCUUUUCCCGAACAGGGCUUGCAGUUCCCAAACCAGACACAAUCUCCCAGUUAGAGAAAGAAAAAGGAUCCUAGAUGAUAGUGAGACAAAUUUCAGGAAACUCCAUCCAAAUAAGUAAAUGAGAAUGAGGAUAAGAUUCAUUCCUGAGGAGAGGAGAAGCUGUCAGUGGAGGUCCCUGAAGUUACCCAGGCCCAGGAGAGACACAGCAUCAGCUGACAACUGCAGUAAAUG